rnacentral:lncRNA from 1 species
UUAGGCUUUCACAGUUUUGGGUUGUAUAUUCAUAAUGAUACCAUGAGUGCUUUAGGGCGCCCUCAAGAUAUGUUUUCAGAUACCGCUAUACAAUUACAACCUGUCUUUGCUCAAUGGAUACAAAAUACCCAUGCUUUGGCACCUGGCACAACAGCCCCUGGUGCAACAACAAGCACCAGUUUGACUUGGGGCGGUGGUGAUUUAGUGUCAGUGGGCGGCAAAGUAGCUUUGUUACCUAUUCCAUUAGGAACUGCAGAUUUUUUGGUGCAUCAUAUUCAUGCAUUUACAAUUCAUGUGACGGUAUUGAUACUCCUAAAAGGUGUUCUAUUUGCUCGUAGCUCACGAUUGAUACCGGAUAAAGCAAAUCUUGGUUUUCGGUUCCCUUGUGAUGGCCCCGGAAGAGGGGGGACAUGCCAAGUAUCCGCUUGGGAUCAUGUCUUCCUAGGAUUAUUUUGGAUGUACAAUGCAAUUUCUGUAGUAAUAUUCCAUUUCAGUUGGAAAAUGCAGUCAGAUGUUUGGGGAAAUAUUAGAUCGUGUUCUUAGACAUCGUGAUGCAAUCAUAUCACAUCUCAACUGGGUGUGUAUAUUUUUAGGCUUUCACAGUUUUGGGUUGUAUAUUCAUAAUGAUACCAUGAGUGCUUUAGGGCGCCCACAAGAUAUGUUUUCAGAUACCGCUAUACAAUUACAACCUGUCUUUGCUCAAUGGAUACAAAAUACCCAUGCUUUAGCACCUGGCACAACAGCCCCUGGUGCAACAACAAGCACCAGUUUGACUUGGGGUGGUGGUGAUUUAGUGUCAGUGGGCGGCAAAGUAGCUUUGUUACCUAUUCCAUUAGGAACUGCAGAUUUUUUGGUACAUCAUAUUCAUGCAUUUACAAUUCAUGUGACGGUAUUGAUACUCCUAAAAGGCGUUCUAUUUGCUCGUAGCUCACGAUUGAUACCGGAUAAAGCAAAUCUUGGUUUUCGGUUCCCUUGUGAUGGCCCUGGAAGAGGGGGGACAUGCCAAGUAUCCGCUUGGGAUCAUGUCUUCCUAGGAUAAGCACCUGGCACAACAGCCCCUGGUGCAACAACAAGCACCAGUUUGACUUGGGGCGGUGGUGAUUUAGUGUCAGUGGGCGGCAAAGUAGCUUUGUUACCUAUUCCAUUAGGAACUGCAGAUUUUUGGGUACAUCAUAUUCAUGCAUUUACAAUUCAUGUGACGGUAUUGAUACUCCUAAAAGGUGUUCUAUUUGCUCGUAGCUCACGAUUGAUACCGGAUAAAGCAAAUCUUGGUUUUCGGUUCCCUUGUGGUGGCCCUGGAAGAGGGGGGACAUGCCAAGUAUCCGCUUGGGAUCAUGUCUUCCUAGGAUUAUUUUGGAUGUACAAUGCAAUUUCUGUAGUAAUAUUCCAUUUCAGUUGGAAAAUGCAGUCAGAUGUUUUGGGAAGUAUAAAUGAUCAAGGAGUAGUAACUCAUAUCACAGGAGGAAACUUUGCGCAGAGUUCGAUUACCAUUAAUGGGUGGCUUCGCGAUUUCUUAUGGGCGCAGGCAU